rnacentral:rRNA from 1 species
AAUCCAUAGGUUAAUGAGGCGAACCGGGGGAACUGAAACAUCUAAGUACCCCGAGGAAAAGAAAUCAACCGAGAUUCCCCCAGUAGCGGCGAGCGAACGGGGAGGAGCCCAGAGCCUGAAUCAGCAUGUGUGUUAGUGGAAGCGUCUGGAAAGGCGCGCGAUACAGGGUGACAGCCCCGUACACAAAAGCGCAUGUGCUGUGAGCUCGAUGAGUAGGGCGGGACACGUGGUAUCCUGUCUGAAUAUGGGGGGACCAUCCUCCAAGGCUAAAUACUCCUGACUGACCGAUAGUGAACCAGUACCGUGAGGGAAAGGCGAAAAGAACCCCGGCGAGGGGAGUGAAAAAGAACCUGAAACCGUGUACGUACAAGCAGUGGGAGCCCCACCACCAAAGCGUUUCGCUUUGUGUGGUGCACAAAGAAGCGUAACGACAGCACUGAAUGACGGUUAACGGAGCGCAAGCGACGUUCAACAUACAAAGUCAAGCAGUGGAGCGCUUUGGGGUGGGGUGACUGCGUACCUU